GGCGAGAUGGCCGAGCGGUCUAAGGCGUCAGUUUAAGGCACUGAUAUCUUCGGAUGCGUGGGUUCGAAUCCCACUCUCGUCA
rfam:Strongyloides ratti strain ED321 Heterogonic genome assembly, scaffold: srae_scaffold0000004